rnacentral:rRNA from 1 species
UAGUAACGAAGCUAACGCGUGAAGUUGACCGCCUGGGGAGUACGGUCGCAAGAUUAAAACUCAAAGGAAUUGACGGGGACCCGCACAAGCGGUGGAUGAUGUGGUUUAAUUCGAUGCAACGCGAAAAACCUUACCUACACUUGACAUGCCAGAAAUCCUGCAGAGAUGUGGGAGUGCCGCAAGGAAUCUGGGCACAGGUGCUGCAUGGCUGUCGUCAGCUCGUGUCGUGAGAUGUUGGGGUUAAGUCCCGCAACGAGCGCAACCCUUGUCACUAGUUGCUACAUUUAGUUGGGCACUCUAGUGAGACUGCCGGUGACAAACCGGAGGAAGGUGGGGAUGACGUCAAGUCCUCAUGGCCCUUAUGUGUAGGGCUACACACGUCAUACAAUGGUCGGUACAGAGGGUUGCCAACCCGCGAGGGGGAGCUAAUCUCACAAAGCCGAUCGUAGUCCGGAUCGCAGUCUGCAACUCGACUGCGUGAAGUCGGAAUCGCUAGUAAUCGUGGAU